GAUGAAGAACGUAGCGAAAUGCGAAAAGUAAUGUGAAUUGCAGAAUUCAGUGAAUCAUCGAAUCUUUGAACGCACAUUGCGCCCGCCAGUAUUCUGGCGGGCAUGCCUGUCUGAGCGUCAUUUCAACCCUCAUGCCCCUAGGGCGUGGUGUUGGGGAUCGGCCAGCGCCCGCGAGGGACGGCCGGCCCCUAAAUCUAGUGGCGGACCCGUCGUGACCUCCCCUGCGAAGUAGUGAUAUUCCGCAUAGGAGAGCGACGAGCCCCUGCCGUUAAACCCCCAACUUUCUAAGGUUGACCUCAGAUCAGGUAGGAAUACCCGCUGAACUUAAGCAUAUCAAUAAGCGGAGGA
rnacentral:misc_RNA from 1 species